AUUGAACGCUGGCGGCAGGCCUAACACAUGCAAGUCGAACGGUAACAGGAAGCAGCUUGCUGCUUUGCUGACGAGUGGCGGACGGGUGAGUAAUGUCUGGGAAACUGCCUGAUGGAGGGGGAUAACUACUGGAAACGGUAGCUAAUACCUCAUAAUGUCGCAAGACCAAAGAGGGGGACCUUCGGGCCUCUUGCCAUCGGAUGUGCCCAGAUGGGAUUAGCUAGUAGGUGGGGUAAAGGCUCACCUAGGCGACGAUCCCUAGCUGGUCUGAGAGGAUGACCAGCCACACUGGAACUGAGACACGGUCCAGACUCCUACGGGAGGCAGCAGUGGGGAAUAUUGCACAAUGGGCGCAAGCCUGAUGCAGCCAUGCCGCGUGUAUGAAGAAGGCCUUCGGGUUGUAAAGUACUUUCAGCGGGGAGGAAGGGAGUAAAGUUAAUACCUUUGCUCAUUGACGUUACCCGCAGAAGAAGCACCGGCUAACUCCGUG
rnacentral:rRNA from 1 species